UACAGAGGGGUGCGAGCGUUAAUCGGAAUUACUGGGCGUAAAGCGUGCGUAGACGGUUAUUUAAGUCGGGUGUGAAAGCCCCGGGCUCAACCUGGGAAUUGCAUUCGAGACUGAAUAGCUAGGGUACGGUAGAGGGAAGCGGAAUUUCCGGUGUAGCGGUGAAAUGCGUAGAUAUCGGAAGGAACAUCAGUGGCGAAAGCGGCUUCCUG
rnacentral:rRNA from 1 species